CUCGGAUUUAUUCUGCUUUCUUUGGCUGUUAAGAACUGGAUAUUUCUUGUUAAAAAACCACAGAAGGUGCUGAUAGAAUUCCCAUGGUUCCCUCUCAAAGUACUUUUCCUGUCUUUUUCCUUUCAAGUCAUUUUCCUUUCUUUCUACUGCUCUUGCUCAUCUCACCUUCUGGAAAACCCUUCCUAACCCUGACCAAGACCUACUCACUCAGGUUCCUGUCCACCUCUCCUAUCAUCAUCAGAAAAAAAUUUCAUUCAGGCUCCAGCUGCCUCCAAACCAGGGAAGCUGAAGGAAUAUUUAAAACAAGUGAACUCAUUUUAAUGUUAGCUUAAGUUACGCAAAUGUCAUUAGUACAUAGUAGGCUCUGAAUGUAUUUAACUUAUUUGAAAUGAAAUGCAGAAGCACUAUGUGCACUUGAGAGCCAAGGAAAAUUUAACUUUUAAAUUAUUUAUGCACAUGUAAUUAUCAAAAUCUCCAACUCUUAAUUUAGACAGACCCCAAUUUAGACCUAAGUUUAAUUACCGGUUGUGACCUUGGAAAACUCACUUCACUUCUCUGAACUGCCUUAUCUAUAAAAUGAAAAUCAUAAUAACAUGUCCCACAGGGCUUUUGAGAAGAUUAAAUGUGAUACUGUAUGUAAAUGAGCCCUGUGCUCAUACUGAACGGUUAUAGGCUCAACUGCAUCAUUCUGACUGUAUGGACGUAUCUGUCAUAUCUUCUCUCUGUGCACCUCUGAUUUUUAACCAUGAUUUUUAUGAGGCGGGGGGUGCCAGAAUGACCCUCUGUGGGAGUGGAUUUCCCUAGCUGACUGAUCUCACAUGUGUACACCCAAGAGAGUUCGGAUACAACCCCAUGGUAUUGGGGUAGAUUCAAGAAAAGGGUUCAGAUCAUUGAAUUUGAGACAUAAGAUUAAUACCUGUGUAAUGAACAAACAAUGCUAUACCAGGCUCUGAUACAUAGUUGCUAACUUUUGGAAACAUUAUUUAUUUAUUCAUUCAUUUGCCCAAACAUUUUCUGAAAAAUCUCUUAUGUCUCAGGCUAUGAUGGGGUUGUAGCUCAGUAGCAGAGCACUUGCCUGGCACAUGUGAGGCACUGGGUUCAGUCCUCAACCCCACAUAAAAAUAAAUAAAACAAAAGGUAUUGUGUCCAUCUACAACUAAAAAUAUUUUUUAAAAAAUACCAUGUUCCUUUCCAUAUACAAAUGAUGAGACAAAUUGGACUCAUUCACUGGAAAACACUUCAAUUCAAUGAUGUAAGGGAACAUUGUGCUUUAUUACAACAGAAUUAGAACCACCAGCAUCCAGAGAGGAAGAACAUCCUGAAGCUGCCACCGUUUCUGCCUCCCUCAGGUUUCCCAUCUUUGUAGUUCCUCUCUGGCCCAAGCACAGAUUUAAAAACUGCUGCUGUUAGAUGAAACAGAUUAGAAUUCCCCCCAAAAUAUUUACUAAAUAAAAGAGAGAACAAGAGAACAUUUUUGAAAGCACUCUGAAACAGUGCUAUGACUUUGGAAAAUUAUUUGACAGUAUCUACUAAGACAGACCAAAUCAUGCAUACCCCUUAGGAACUGGCAAUUUUAGAAGAAGUAUGUCUAAUGUGCUUUUUUCUGUAUGUGUUAGAAUGUUAAUAACAGCACUGUUUGUUAAAGCCAAACACUGGAAACAGCCUCAGUGUCCAUAUGCAAUAGGAAGAAUAAGUUAGAGCAUCUUCACCCAGUGGAGUACCACAUGGUACAAGAACAAACAAACUAGAACUACUUGCAAUAGAAGUGUGAGCUCACCAAUGAAACGUUGAGUGAAGGAAUCCAGACACAAAAGAGGAUCCCCUCGAUGAAUCCAUGUAUCUCAUGUUCUAAAACAGUCAAAACAAUUCGAAGGUGUUUAAAAUUAAGUUGGUGAUUGUUGUUGGAGCUAAUGACUGAAGGGGGCACAGAGACUCUUGGGGAGC
rnacentral:lncRNA from 1 species